CAAUAGCGUAUAUUAAAGUUGUUGCGGUUAAAAAGCUCGUAGUUGGAUUUCUGCCGAGGACGACCGGUCCGCCCUCUGGGUGAGUAUCUGGUUCGGCCUGGGCAUCUUCUUGGAGAACGUAUCUGCACUUGACUGUGUGGUGCGGUAUCCAGGACUUUACUUGAGGAAAUUAGAGUGUUUCAAGCAGGCGUACGCCUUGAAUACAUUAGCAUGGAAUAAUGAGAUAGGACCUUGGUUCUAUUUUGUUGGUUUCUAGUACUGAAGUAAUGAUUGAUAGGGAUAGUUGGGGGUGCUCGUAUUCAGCGGCCAGAGGUGAAAUUCUUGGAUUCGCUGAAGACGAACUUAUGCGAAAGCAUUCACCAAGGAUGUCUUCUUUAAUCAAGAACGAAAGUUGGGGA
rnacentral:rRNA from 1 species